rnacentral:rRNA from 1 species
AGCGAACGCUGGCGGCAGGCCUAACACAUGCAAGUCGAACGAACCUUUCGGGGUUAGUGGCGGACGGGUGAGUAACACGUGGGAACGUGCCUUUAGGUUCGGAAUAACUCAGGGAAACUUGUGCUAAUACCGAAUGUGCCCUUCGGGGGAAAGAUUAAUCGCCUUUAGAGCGGCCCGCGUCUGAUUAGCUAGUUGGUUGAGGUAAUGGCUCACCAAGGCGACGAUCAGUAGCUGGUCUGAGAGGAUGAUCAGCCACAUUGGGACUGAGACACGGCCCAAACUCCUACGGGAGGCAGCAGUGGGGUAUCUUGCGCAAUGGGCGCAAGCCUGACGCAGCCAUGCCGCGUGAAUGAUGAAGGUCUUAGGAUUGUAAAAUUCUUUCACCGGGGACGAUAAUGACGGUACCCGGAGAAGAAGCCCCGGCUAACUUCGUG